rnacentral:rRNA from 1 species
UACAGAGGUGGCAAGCGUUGUUCGGAAUUACUGGGCGUAAAGGGCGCGUAGGCGGUUCGUUAAGUCCUGUGUGAAAUCCCCCGGCUCAACUGGGGAACUGCACAGGAAACUAGCGGGCUUGAGUUCGGGAGAGGGAAGCGGAAUUCCGGGUGUAGCGGUGAAAUGCGUAGAUAUCCGGAGGAACACCGGUGGCAAGGCGGCUUCCUGGACCGACACUGACGCUGAGGCGCGAAAGCUAGGGGAGCAAACAGG